ACGGAGUCUCACUCUGUCACCUAGGCUGGAGUGCAGUGGCACAAUCUUGGCUCACUACAACCUCCGAUCCGCCUCCUGGGUUCAAGCGAUUCUCUUGCCUCGGACUUCUGAGUAGCUGGGAUUACAGACGCCCGCCAUCACACCCGGCUAAGUUUUGUAUUUUCAGUAGAGAUGGGGUUUCACUGUGUUGGUCAGGCUGGUCUCAAACUCCCGACCUCAGAUGAUCUGCCUGCCUCAGCCUCCCAAAGUGCUGGGAUUACAGGCAUGAGCCACCGCGCCCAGCCCUGAACUUAGGUUUUGAUGUCCCAGGGAUGUCCUGGUUGCUGGUCUUGCCCCACACCGGGUGGGGUUACGGUGGGUGGUGACGAGGAGUCAAUGUCAAAACCCUUUUAGCCACAGUUGAGCAAUAGGGGAGGUUUGGAGGGCGUGGUUCCUGGGCUGAGGCCCCCUGGGGCCCGUUACUGAGUUCAGUUUUGUCUGCUUUGGAGUCUCUUGCUGUCAUCUCGACGCGCUGGGCCAGCAUGAUCCUGCGAGGAGUUGUACUUCAAAAUUUAACAAGGAACAAACGCAAAGCUUCAAAAGGGGAAAUACAAGCUUUCCCAGAGGUUUCUCCAGGUGCAGCAUGUGGUGGUAGCAACAGCACAGGCAUUUCCUUACUUAACCAGCAGAGACUAAGGGAUCUCCUGGGUCAGGUUCUGUGGAGUUCCAGCAGAAGCCGUGGAUCGUGGAAGUUCAGCGACACCACCGUCCUGCCCCGUGGGAGAGGUGGGCACUGAGAUGGGUUUGACAAACGCUCUUUCGAAUCCAGAAAAGUCAAGUAGAGAAGGAAAGUAAGGGGCACUUACUGUGCCUCGAAUCACAAGACUGCGGUGGACCGGCCUGGUGAAGAUCUGUGGAUGUCUUCAGCAAGAAACUUGGAGAGGCCCCUAAAGAUAUCGCCAGGGAGAAAACAAAGAAAGCUCCAGUCGCUCCUUCCUAAGCUGUCACGACUACUCUUUAAAAUGGCCCCAUGCUUGGAUUUCUGUCACCACGACUGGGGGAGCCUGGGCGAGUGUGCUUUCCCUCACUGCACCUCCCAUGGGAGCCCAGGCUGCUGCGCCGUCCUUAGACUGUUGGGAUGAUGAGCGGACGGUGAACUCCCACCACCUGCGCCUGUGAAGGGAGCUCCGGCUGAGGGGCUUUGCUGGCUUCAGGUCGGGGGCUGCCGUAGUUCUGUGUUGAGGAGAUGGUGUGGACUGCGGCACAGCCAAGCCUGAGCCCCACGCCAGGAUGGGUGGAGUGCCCAGAAAGCAUUCUGAUUUCCGGCCUGGCGUGUCUUCCUUCCAUCACACUGAAAGUUUUACCCAACAGCUUGUUUAAGUUUUUUUUCUUUUUGAGGUGGGGUCUUGCUCUGUCGCCCAGGCGAUCCUCCCACCUCAGCCUCCCAAGGAGCUGGGACUACAGGCGCACACCACCACAUCCUGCUCUUUUUUUUUUUUUUUAAUUUUAUAGAAAUGGAGUUUUGCCACGUUGUCCAGGCUGGUCUCAAACUCCUGAGUUCAAGCUAUCCACCUACCUCAGCCUCACAAAAUGCUAGGAUUACUGGUGUGAGCCAUCAUGCCUGGCCAAGUUUUGUUUUGUUUUGUUUUUUUUAAAUUUUAAAUUUAAUUUGAUUUUUAGAGUUGGGAUCUUGCUCUGUGGCCCAGGCUGGUCUCGAAUUCUUAGCUUUGAGCCAUCCUCCCACCUGGGCCUUCCUAAGCAGUGGAAUUACAGUUGUGAGCCACUGUGCCUGACCUCACUGAGGUUUUUAUCACAGAAUGAUAAAAAAAGCGCCAUGCCCAUAGUUUUGUAGGUAGUGAGUGCUGUUGCUAGGACAUGCUCCUGGUUAGUUUGGCUUCAGAUACUGUAUUUUUCCAUGUUUCUACAUUGAGCCUGGCCUUGUGUGACUUCUGCGAAAUAUCCAUUUCUCCACCCUCUUUGUUCUCUGCCAGUUGCAAUUUCUUGAGUCAUUUCGUUUUUGUUGCAGGAAAUCAGGUUUUUUUUUUUUUUUUGAUGGAGUCUUGCUCUGUUGCCCAGGCUGGAGUCCAGUGGUGCGAUGUCGGCUCACUGCAAUCUCCCUCUCCCAGGUUUGAGUGAUUCUCCUGCCUCAGCCUCCCGAGUAGCUGGGAUUACAGGCGCCCACCACCACACCUGGCUAAUUUUUGUAUUUUUAGUAGAGACAGGGUUUCACCAUGUUGGCCAGGCUAGUCUCAAACUCCUAACCUCAAGUGAUCCACCUGCCUUGGCCUCCCAAAGUGCUGGGAUUACAGGUGUGGCCACCGCGCCUGGCAGGAAAUCAGGUUUAAGGGACUUGCCUGCGAGUGAGUGUGACGGCUGGAGCCUCUCAACAGUGCAGACUGCUGUAAAUGAAGACUGUGGAAUGGCGAAUCUCAUUGUUCAUGUGGGGCCGUCAGACUGAUCAGCUGUACAUAAUCUAUAGGAUAUUCACAUUAAUACAUUUACAUAGAUAUAACUUUAAAGAAGAUUUACUAUAACAGCUAAAAUUAUGACUAAUGAUAUUAGAUUUUAAGUUUUAUACAAUUUUUAAACAUUAUUCAUUUAUUUUUUUUUUGAGAUGGAGUCUCGCUCUGUCGCUCAGUCUGGAAUGCAGUGGCGCAAUCUCGGCUCACUGCAACCUCAGCCUCCUGGGUUAAAGUGAUUCUCCUGCCUCAGCCUCCUGAGUAGCUGGGAUUACAGGUGUGCACCACCAUGCCUGGCUGAUUUUUGUAUUUUUAGUAGAGAUGGGGUUUCACCAUGUUGGCCAGGCUGGUCUUGAACUCCUGACCUCAGGUGAUCCACCCACUUCAGCCUCCCAAAAUGCUGGAAUUACAGGUGUAAGCCACCAUGCCCAGCCAUGAAACAUUUGUAUUAAUAACAUAAAUGUAACUGAAAGAAUGCCUAAUAUAAUUUAUUAUUU